CAGGGAAUCUUCGGCAAUGGACGAAAGUCUGACCGAGCAACGCCGCGUGAGUGAAGAAGGUUUUCGGAUCGUAAAACUCUGUUGGUAGAGAAGAACGUUGGUGAGAGUGGAAAGCUCAUCAAGUGACGGUAACUACCCAGAAAGGGACGGCUAACUACGUGCUAG
rnacentral:rRNA from 1 species